ensembl:lncRNA
UGUGGUGGAAUUUCCUCUCACAGGGGCACAGGGAUAUUGCUCAGGGAAACUAUCAACAAUGAAGCUGUGGGAGAUAAGAAAGGAAAUGCUGUUAAAAACAGCUUUAACCGUGUUUGUCCUCUCAUGUUUCCUGGGACGUCUGGACUGUGAAGAGCUAACAGUCAAACAAGCAAAGGAUGUAACUCUGGAGUGCUAUGGCCCCAGUGAUGCUAACAUAAUGAUAAGCUGGCAAAAGCCUGACCUGCAGUCAGAGUAUUAUGUGUUCUACUUCAGCGAUGAACACAUUCACAAAGACAAACAGCAUGAAUCAUUUAAAGGUCGAGUGGAGCUGAAAGAUCCAGAGAUAAAGAAUGGAAACUUUUCUAUGAUUCUCAAAAAUGUCACCAUGAACGACGCUGGAAUAUAUGAAUGUUAUGCUGGAUACAACAGACAGAGACCUCAGCUUUUGAAGAGCAUCAACCUGAAGGUAAAAGAAGAAGGUCAGACAGUACUCGAUAAGGACAAAGACCAGAGGAGUGGAGCUGAUGGCGUAGAAGUUGACAUGUCGAUUUCCGUUGUGCUUGCUGCUGCUGUUUUGUUGUUUUAGCCGUCUGUUGAACUGCAGCCAGUUUGAAAGGCCACAGAUGGAAAUAUCACAGUGUAUAUUCACUCCACCCACCCACUCAGCAUUCACAGUGACAGAUGUGCUGAGGACAGACAGAAGUUAACGAUGCACAAUUAAACUGGAAUUUAGCACCUGGAGGAAACAUUAAGUUAUGUUCGUGUUUGUGAUUAUCUGAAGUUUCCUGCUCAACAUACAUGUUUGUUUACAUUGUUAUCUGCUGCCUUUUUUAGUCACCAUCAAAUAUCACUGAGCUAUUAUGAAUUCUGAAUUUUACAUUUUGAUAUUUUUGUCCUACAUAUUUUUCAUUUUACAUUUUAUUUUGAUAUUUUACAUGUUUUUUGCAUUUUUAAAGGCUUAAAAUACUGUUGAGAAGGAAGGUUACAUUAUAUGUAAAGAGGGCCAAAUAUAAGCCCUGACGGCCAUCACUAGUCCACUGGAUGACUUUGAAAAAUAUAAAAUGUGAAUUAAAAAAGAAAAAGUAAGAUGUUGGACUAUUUACUGUAUUUUGUCAUUAACAGUGGAUAACAUCAUGAGAAUCGAUCAUAGAUUAUUUUUUUUUAAACUAUUAGUAUAAAGAACAAAGUUUUUAUAACAAAUUCUCAGGAUUGAUGAAUCUGUAACAUCAGCAAAAUGUUUUACACUUGGUCAUGUGCAAUAAAGGACAUGUGAAUGAAUCCAGUGCAUGUACGAGCAGAUUAACACCAGCCUGGCUUGCAAC